rnacentral:rRNA from 1 species
AUCUGCCCAGUAGUGGGGAACAACUCCUCGAAAGAGGAGCUAAUACCGCAUACGGUCUCUCUUAGCCGAGAAGACUAAAGCUCGCAAGAGCGCUAUUGGAGGAACCUGCGGCUGAUUAGCUAGUUGGUGGGGUAAAGGCCUACCAAGGCGAUGAUCAGUAGCUGGUCUGAGAGGAUGGACAGCCACACUGGGACUGAGAUACGGCCCAG